rnacentral:rRNA from 1 species
UACGAAGGGUGCAAGCGUUACUCGGAAUUACUGGGCGUAAAGCGUGCGUAGGUGGUGAGUUAAGUCUGUCGUGAAAGCCCCGGGCUCAACCUGGGAAUGGCGAUGGAUACUGGCUCGCUAGAGUGCGGUAGAGGAGAGUGGAAUUCCCGGUGUAGCAGUGAAAUGCGUAGAGAUCGGGAGGAACAUCAGUUGCGAAGGCGGCUCUCUGAACCAGCACUGACACUGAGGCACGAAAGCGUGGGGAGCAAACAGG